CAGUAGCCGCGGUAAUACGAAGGGUGCAAGCGUUAAUCGGAAUUACUGGGCGUAAAGCGUGCGUAGGCGGUUUGUUAAGUCUGCUGUGAAAUCCCCGGGCUCAACCUGGGAAUGGCAGUGGAUACUGGCAAGCUAGAGUGUGUCAGAGGAUGGUGGAAUUCCCGGUGUAGCGGUGAAAUGCGUAGAGAUCGGGAGGAACAUCAGUGGCGAAGGCGGCCAUCUGGGACAACACUGACGCUGAGGCACGAAAGCGUGGGGAGCAAACAGGAUUAGAUACCCCGGUAGUCCCUGUCUCUUAUAU
rnacentral:rRNA from 1 species